AAGUCGUAACAAGGUCUCCGUUGGUGAACCAGCGGAGGGAUCAUUACAGGACUCGCAAGACUCCUUACACCCUGUGAACCUUACUGUAUACGCGUUGCUUCGGCGGGUCCGCCCGCCGGCAGCAUACCACAUUCUGUUUCUCUGCGUUGGCAUCUCGAGAAAAAAGCAAAUAAGUUAAAACUUUCAACAACGGAUCUCUUGGUUCUG
rnacentral:misc_RNA from 1 species